CCGCCUCCUGCUUCAACAGUGUUUGGACAGAACAG
rfam:Myotis lucifugus cont2.57818, whole genome shotgun sequence.